UUGUAUAUGGAGUUAUAUAUGAUUUCCGAGAACUUGAAAGCCUUAGGAAUGAUUUCCUACAUAAUACGAACCAUCCAAUAUCAAAUUCAAGCUCAUAUCCUAUAUAAUUCCUCAUUUAGACAUUUAAGCAAACAACUUGCAGGCAUGAAUUUGUAGACCAUUUUGUAGUUUAAUUUCACCCCACACACCACCAAUUUUACUUUACUACAUCUCCUCAUCGACAUGAUUCCAACCAUAUCUUCAUUGAUUCAAUCAACACCAUGAAACUAUAUAAAACAGCCCAAACAACCAAGUCCUACUAAGAGGAGUUUCUUAAUAAAAUCAUGAAUAUUUCUAUAGAGAUUUCAACUAUUUCUUAAUAAUUCUUAUGGUAGAUGUUUACAAAGAUCAAAGAGAAAGUUAAAUCAUACCUUAUGUGACCAGAAUUUCUCCAAAUUCGAAAUUACUUCAAGGCAGAGUCUUGCUAUGAAAAGUGAAACACCGAAGAAUUCACAAAUCCGAAGUUGCCAUGGUUUUCUCCAUCUUGAGGAUGACUAAAUUGUUGUUAUGAUUGGAUAGAUGGAUGAGAGGAGUUUGAGAGGAAAUACCCAGGUUUUUGGUUCUGUUUUGG
rnacentral:lncRNA from 1 species